rnacentral:rRNA from 1 species
UACGAAGGGGGCUAGCGUUGCUCGGAAUCACUGGGCGUAAAGCGCACGUAGGCGGACUCUUAAGUCGGCGGUGAAAUCCUGGAGCUCAACUCCAGAACUGCCUUCGAUACUGGGAGUCUCGAGUCCGAGAGAGGUGAGUGGAACUGCGAGUGUAGAGGUGAAAUUCGUAGAUAUUCGCAAGAACACCAGUGGCGAAGGCGGCUCACUGGCUCGGUACUGACGCUGAGGAGCGAAAGCGUGGGGAGCGAACAGG